rnacentral:rRNA from 1 species
GUGAGGAAUAUUGGUCAAUGGGCGGGAGCCUGAACCAGCCAAGUCGCGUGAAGGAAGAAGGAUCUAUGGUUCGUAAACUUCUUUUGCAGGGGAAUAAAGUGCAGGACGUGUCCUGUUUUGUAUGUACCCUGAGAAUAAGGAUCGGCUAACUCCGUGCCAGCAGCCGCGGUAAUACGGAGGAUCCGAGCGUUAUCCGGAUUUAUUGGGUUUAAAGGGUGCGUAGGUGGUUUGAUAAGUCAGCGGUGAAAGUUUGCAGCUUAACUGUAAAAAUGCCGUUGAAACUGUCGGACUUGAGUGUAAAUGAGGUAGGCGGAAUGCGUGGUGUAGCGGUGAAAUGCAUAGAUAUCACGCAGAACUCCGAUUGCGAAGGCAGCUUACUAAGCUACAACUGACACUGAAGCACGAAAGCGUGGGGAUCAAACAGGAUUAGGUACCCCUGUAGUCC